rnacentral:rRNA from 1 species
AACGAACGCUGGCGGCAGGCUUAACACAUGCAAGUCGAACGAUCCCUUCGGGGAUAGCGGCAGACGGGUGAGUAACGCGUGGGAACCUACCUUUAGGUACGGAACAACAGUUGGAAACGACUGCUAAUACCGUAUGUGCCCUAUGGGGGAAAGAUUUAUCGCCUAAGGAUGGGCCCGCGUUGGAUUAGCUAGUUGGUGGGGUAAUGGCCUACCAAGGCGACGAUCCAUAGCUGGUCUGAGAGGAUGAUCAGCCACACUGGGACUGAGACACGGCCCAGACUCCUACGGGAGGCAGCGGUGGGGAAUAUUGGACAAUGGGGGCAACCCUGAUCCAGCCAUGCCGCGUGAGUGAUGAAGGCCCUAGGGUUGUAAAGCUCUUUCAGCGAGGAGGAUAAUGACGUUACUCGCAGAAGAAGCCCCGGCUAACUUCGUGCCAGCCGCCGCGGUAAU